UACGAAGGGUGCAAGCGUUACUCGGAAUUACUGGGCGUAAAGCGUGCGUAGGUGGUUUGUUAAGUCUGAUGUGAAAGCCCUGGGCUCAACCUGGGAAUUGCAUUGGAUACUGGCAGGCUAGAGUGCGGUAGAGGAUGGCGGAAUUCCCGGUGUAGCAGCGAAAUGCGUAGAGAUCGGGAGGAACAUCUGUGGCGAAGGCGGCCAUCUGGACCAGCACUGACACUGAGGCACGAAAGCGUGGGGAGCAAACAGG
rnacentral:rRNA from 1 species